GAUGAAGAACGUAGCGAAAUGCGAUAAGUAAUGUGAAUUGCAGAAUUCAGUGAAUCAUCGAAUCUUUGAACGCACAUUGCGCCCUCUGGUAUUCCGGGGGGCAUGCCUGUUCGAGCGUCAUUACAACCCUCAAGCUUUGCUUGGUAUUGGACAUUGCCAGUUUCUGGCAGGUCUUAAAAUCAGUGGCGGUGCCAUUUGGCUUCAAGCGUAGUAAUUCUUCUCGCUUUGGAGAUCCAGGUGGUUACUUGCCAAUAACCCCCAAUUUUUUCAGGUUGACCUCGGAUCAGGUAGGGAUACCCGCUGAACUUAAGCAUAUCAAUAGCGGAGGA
rnacentral:misc_RNA from 1 species